rnacentral:rRNA from 1 species
UACGAAGGGGGCUAGCGUUGUUCGGAAUUACUGGGCGUAAAGCGCACGUAGGCGGAUAUUUAAGUCAGGGGUGAAAUCCCAGAGCUUAACUCUGGAACUGCCUUUGAUACUGGGUAUCUUGAGUAUGGAAGAGGUAAGUGGAAUUGCGAGUGUAGGGGUGAAAUUCGUAGAUAUUCGCAGGAACACCAGUGGCGAAGGCGGCUUACUGGUCCAUUACUGACGCUGAGGUGCGAAAGCGUGGGGAGCAAAC